GAUGAACGCUGGCGGCGUGCCUAAUACAUGCAAGUCGAGCGAACAGACGAGGAGCUUGCUCCUCUGACGUUAGCGGCGGACGGGUGAGUAACACGUGGAUAACCUACCUAUAAGACUGGGAUAACUUCGGGAAACCGGAGCUAAUACCGGAUAAUAUAUUGAACCGCAUGGUUCAAUAGUGAAAGACGGUUUUGCUGUCACUUAUAGAUGGAUCCGCGCCGCAUUAGCUAGUUGGUAAGGUAACGGCUUACCAAGGCAACGAUGCGUAGCCGACCUGAGAGGGUGAUCGGUCACACUGGAACUGAGACACGGUCCAGACUCCUACGGAAGGCAGCAGUAGGGAAACUUCCGCAAUGGGCGAAAGCCUGACGAAGCAACGCCGCGUAAGUGAUGAAGGUCUUCGGAUCGUAAAACUCUGUUAUUAGGGAAGAACAAAUGUGUAAGUAACUAUGCACGUAUUGACGGUACCUAAUCAGAAAGCCACGGCUAACUACGGG
rnacentral:rRNA from 1 species